rnacentral:rRNA from 1 species
CUUGCUCCCUGAAGUCAGCGGCGGACGGGUGAGUAACACGUGGGCAACCUGCCUGUAAGACUGGGAUAACUUCGGGAAACCGGAGCUAAUACCGGAUAAUCCUUUCCCUCACAUGAGGGAAAGCUGAAAGACGGUUUCGGCUGUCACUUACAGAUGGGCCCGCGGCGCAUUAGCUAGUUGGUGAGGUAACGGCUCACCAAGGCGACGAUGCGUAGCCGACCUGAGAGGGUGAUCGGCCACACUGGGACUGAGACACGGCCCAGACUCCUACGGGAGGCAGCAGUAGGGAAUCUUCCGCAAUGGACGAAAGUCUGACGGAGCAACGCCGCGUGAGUGAUGAAGGUUUUCGGAUCGUAAAACUCUGUUGUCAGGGAAGAACAAGUACCGUUCGAAUAGGGCGGUACCUUGACGGGACCUAACCAUAAAGCCACGGCUAACUACGUGCCAGCAGCCGCGGUAAUACGUAUGUGGCAAGCGUUGUCCGGAAUUAUUGGUCGUAAAGCGCGCGCAGGCGGUUCUUUAAGUCUGAUGUGAAAGCCCACGG